AUAAAACACCAGUAAAUAAUAACGCAAGGCACAGAUAGUGAGAAAGAAGCCAACGAUGAGCAUAUCCAGAAGUCUUCAUUUUUCUCAAACUUUUAACUUAUUCGAAUUGCCAAUUCCACUCUCCAAUCCUAAAAGUAGAAGUAGAACCUCGCAGUACCCAGAAAACAAAUCCAGUCUUGAAAACCAAAAUUCCCAUUUCGACAGAAGCUGAAGAACUUGACAAAAAGUCCCAAAUUCAGCCUUUGAUUGACCUCCUACGUGACUCUGCCCAUGAAGGGUCUUUGAAAAAAAGCUUAAAGCUGUUCAUGGGGUUUGCGUUAAAAUCCUGUUUUUCUAACAAAGAACUGUUAAUUUUGUUGAAUCACGUGGCUCAUGCCUACUCAAAAUGCUGACUUAAGUUCUGCUUUUCAGGUAUUUGAUAAAAUGUCUCAAAGAAACAUAUUCUCUUGGACUGUCAUGAUUGUUGGUUCAACAGAGAAUGGAUUUUUCUUGAAUGGAUUUAAGUAUUUUUAUCAAAUGCUUAGUUAUGGAGUCUUGCCUGAUACUUUUGCGUGUUCUGCAAUUAUACAGACAUCUAUUGGUUUAGAAUGUAUUGAAUUGGGUGGAAUGGUGCAUGCCCAGAUUGUUAUAAGAGGCUUUCACUCUCUUACUUUUGUCGCUACAUCUCUUCUUAACAUGUAUGCAAAGUUGAGGAGUAUUGAGGACUCGUAUAAGGUUUUCAACACCAUGAUAUAACAUAAUGAAGUUUCCUGGAAUGCCAUUAUUUAUGGUUUUACAUUAAGUGGAAUGCAUUUGGAAUCAUUUGAUCGUUUCCUAUGAAUGAAGAAUUAAGGAAUCAGGGCGAAUACAUAUACAAUCAUUAGUCUUUCAAAAGGUGUAGGGCAGUUAGGUGAUAUUGACAAGGGCAAACAAGUUCAGUCUGUUGCUGUCGAGUUGGGUAUGGAGUCUGAUGUGCAAGUGGGGACAACUAUCAUUGAUUUGUACUCAAAAUGUGCAUUCCUGCAGGAAGCAAGAGCCUUUUUCAACUCAAAUAUUGUUAAUUUUCAGGUGAACAUGCCAUGGAAUGCGAUGAUUGCCAGUUAUUCACAAAAUGGGUGUAGCCAAGAGGCUUUAGAACUCCAUGUAAGAAUUCAUCAAAAUGAUAUAAAAUCGGAUGUUUAUUCAUAUUGCAGUGUAUUCAAUGCAAUUGCGGAUUAAAAGUAUUUACAGUUUGGAAAGGAAGUUCAUGGGAAGGUUUUGAAGUCUGGAUGUGAUAUGAUGGUUAUUAGUAGUUGUAAUGCAAUUGCUGAUGCAUAUGCCAAAUGUGGACCUCUUGAAGAUUUAAAAAAGAUUUUUAACAGGAUGGAGGAGAGAGAUAUGGUGUCAUGGACCACCCUGGUGACUGCACACUCUCAAUGCUCGGAGUGGGAGGAAGCCCUGGCUAUUUUUUCACAGAUUAGGGAAGAAGGCCUUAGACCUAACCAAUUUACCUUUUCCAGUGUCCUGGUUUCUUAUUCUAGCCUUUGUUUUCUUAAGUACGGUCGGUAAGUUCAUGGUCUUUUGUGCAAGGCUGGGUUGGCCUCGGAUAAAUGCAUAGAGAGUUCUCUAGUGGACAUUUAUGCAAAAUGUGGUAGUGUAAGUGAGGCAGAGAAGGUCUUUGAAAGGAUUUUUAACCCUGACACUGUGUCAGAGUCCACUAGUGGACAUGUUUGCAAAAUGUGGUAGUGUAAGUGAGGCAGAGAAGGUCUUUAAAAGGAUUUUUAACCCCGACACUGUGUCAUGGACAACUAUGAUAUUGGGUGAUGCUGAUAGGAACCUGAAGAGCGAGACGUCCGAACUAUUAGGCUCCCACUGUCCACAGUGCAACAGGAGCCGAAAACCGUAAGUGCGCCGUAAUGCUUGUAUUUGUUUUACGAAUGAAACAGUCAAUUUCGUGUAUGGCAACGAGUUAAUAAUCCCAGUCGUAUUAAUUUACUAUUGGAAUAAAGCCAGAUUGGCAUUACACUUUCAUUAGCACUGCAGAGCACAAAAUAAAGAAAAUCAACACUACACGUUUAACAACGUUAAAUUCCCAGCAAGUUUUCCAUGAUUCCAGAUCACUAACAACUACACAACCACUCAAACAAAAUAAACAAACUCAAUUCUUCGCCAGCUUUUGAGAGGCUGGGUCUCUCCCCUAUUUCUUCCUUCCACCACAAUUUACCUCCUCCCUCCCUCUGCUCUCCAGGUCCCUAUUUCUUAAUUCCUUGCUACAGCUUAUCCAAUCUUGACGUGCCAGCUCAGCAUUCAAUAUUUCCAUAGUUCCUCUUUUUCCUAGCAUGUCCCAAUACUUUUGCUGCAUGUCUGCUGUCCUUGCCAUUUCUGGAGUGUUGCCAUCUGGAGCUUCAAAAAUCUGCUCACCAAUAUUAUUAUCACUGUUGCCGUUUGUCAACUUCUCAGCUUGCUCCUUUGAGGACGCCUUUCUUCUGCCUCUUCUCUUCUUCACGUACACUCGGGCUCUAACAGAUGCGCAACAUUGUCUCUCAGAGAAUGCACUUAAACUCUUCAGAAAGAUGGAGCAACUAGGUAUGAAGGCUAAUUCUGUUACUCUACUCUGUGUUUUGUUUACUUGCAGCCAUGGAGGAUUGGUUGAGCAAGGAUUAAAAUAUUUUCAAGAAAUGGAACAAAAUUAUGGUGUGGUUCCAGAGAUCGAAUAUUAUGCUUGUAUUGUUGAUCUAUGUGGUCGUUUGAAUGAUGCAAUGGAGUUUAUAAGAAAGAUGCCAAUUGAACCCAGCGAAAUGGUUUGGCAGACCUUGCUGGGAACAUGCAGAGUACAUGAGCUGGGUGAAAUUGCCGCAUAGAAGGUUCUUCCUGUUAGACCAGAUUCGACUACCUGUAUUCUAUUAUCUAACACAUGUUGAGAGUGGGAGUUUUGACGAUGGUCUUAACCUACGAAAAGUAAUGAAAGAGAGAGGUGUAAAAAAGGAACCAGGGUAUUGUUGGAUUUCUGUACAAGGUAAAGUUCACAAAUUCCAUUCGGGCGAUCAUCAACACCCGCAGAAGGAUGACAUCUUUGCCAAGUUAGAAGAGUUGAUGAAGAAGGUUAAGUCCAUGGGUGAUAUACCAGACUUGAAUAAUGCUUAGUGACUAAUUUUAAGAUUCAACAAUACAUACUCUUCAAGUGGUCCUUCUGCUGUCUUCGAUCACUGCAUUUUAGCUGUAUGACUUAACCUUCUGCAGGAAGCAACUUGUCCAAGGUAGAAAUAUGCAAGGAAAAUACUAACAUUUUCAUUAACCACUCUGCUAGUGAAAAUUCUGUUAGUAAUUUUAAGCAUUAUUGGAAUUUCUUUUAUAU